GCCACCUCAGCCUGCCUAGUACUGGGACUACAGAAACAUCAAAUAUAUUCAGCUCCCGUCUCUCUUCAACCAUGUAAAAUUAUUUCAACAACUAUCAGCUAUUGAAGGUGAAACUGGCAUGUCUGUUUGUUCUUCUCUUCCUGGUGUCAAAGACUCUUAAAGCAUGCAUAUAAAAUAUGAAAGUAAAUAAAACGUAAUCAAAAAUACUAACAUUCAAACAUUUACAUAUCAUUGUUCCUACUAUCCCUUUUUUCUCUGGAUCUCUAAUAGAAAUAACAGUUGGUGUCCAUCAAGUGUUAAGUGAAUAAAUAAAAAAUUACCAAAUUUUUA
rnacentral:lncRNA from 1 species